UUUUUACAAAAAAAUGCUCCGUUUAACGCUGUAGUACACAUGCUAGGCCUGUACGUGGCGCUAACGUCCCCAGAAAAGCAACAGAGGAAGACUAGAGCAUGCGCAUCAGCU